rfam:Gossypium hirsutum cultivar TM-1 chromosome 19, whole genome shotgun sequence
UUGUUUGCGGGAGUAGCAUCAUCAAGAUUCACAUGCAACUGCACGGUGGCGAUGAUAAUAAUACUAACUCUCUUUCCUCUUUCUCCUUUCUUCCCUCCCUGUCCUAAAUUUUAUUGCCAAACUUUUUUGAAAGUGAGAAUCUUGAUGAUGCUGCAUCGGCAAUAAA